GACGAACGCUGGCGGCGUGCCUAAUACAUGCAAGUAGAACGCUGAAGCUUGGUGCUUGCACCGAGCGGAUGAGUUGCGAACGGGUGAGUAACGCGUAGGUAACCUGCCUGGUAGCGGGGGAUAACUAUUGGAAACGAUAGCUAAUACCGCAUAAGAGUAGAUGUUGCAUGACAUUUGCUUAAAAGGUGCAAUUGCAUCACUACCAGAUGGACCUGCGUUGUAUUAGCUAGUUGGUGAGGUAACGGCUCACCAAGGCAACGAUACAUAGCCGACCUGAGAGGGUGCUCGGCCACACUGGGACUGAGACACGGCCCAGACUCCUACGGGAGGCAGCAGUAGGGAAUCUUCGGCAAUGGCCGGAAGUCUGACCGAGCAACGCCGCGUGAGUGAAGAAGGUUUUCGGAUCGUAAAGCUCUGUUGUAAGAGAAGAACGAGUGUGAGAGUGGAAAGUUCACACUGUGACGGUAUCUUACCAGAAAGGGACGGCUAACUACGUG
rnacentral:rRNA from 1 species